AGAGUUUGAUCCUGGCUCAGGAUGAACGCUAGCGGCAGGCUUAAUACAUGCAAGGCGAGGGGGCAGCAAUGUCACCGUCGUACGGGUGCGUAACGCGUAUGCAACCUACCUAUCACUGGGGGAUAGCCCGGGGAAACCCGGAUUAAUACCGCAUAAUACAUAUGGGUCACCUGAUCUGUUUUGUUAAAGAUUUAUUGGUGAUAGAUGGGCAUGCGUUCGAUUAGCUAGUUGGCAGGGUAACGGCCUACCAAGGCAACGAUCGAUAGGGGAGCUGAGAGGUUGAUCCCCCACACGGGCACUGAGAUACGGGCCCGACUCCUACGGGAGGCAGCAGUAGGGAAUAUUGGGCAAUGGAUGCAAGUCUGACCCAGCCAUGCCGCGUGCCGGAUGAAGGCCCUCAGGGUUGUAAACGGCUUUUAUUCGGGAAGAAGAUCAGGGAUGCGUCCCUGUGUGACGGUACCGAAUGAAUAAGCACCGGCUAACUCCGUG
rnacentral:rRNA from 1 species